UCCUCACACCUUGCAGGUACAGGUGAAGGCGAAUGGCCAUCAUCCGGUGCUGUUGCUGAGCUGGAACUUCAGCACACCGUCUCAAUGUGUGGAGAGCUCAGUGCGCUACAGGCGGGGAGGAGGCCAUUGGAGGACCAAUAAACCAAUAACCGGACAGUCUUUCAGUAUGUCGUUUUUCUCAGAGGAUCUCCCGUAUGAGUUUCAAGUGCGGACACGAGUGGAGUAUUUCUGUGGCCAGUCCAGGUUCUGGAGUGACUGGAGUGCUCCUUUAUUCUGGGUUCCACCACAACUGUCCAAACGAUUAGGUCCAGCACAGCAUGGUCACAAUCACUGCACAGGGUCCAGCCCGCAGCAGCUCACCGUUGUAACUCUGUUGGGGAUUGGCUGGCUUUGGCAGUUUCUGGAACUCUGAC